UCGGAGUGCUUGCACUCUGUGAAACAAGAUACAGGCUAGCGGCGGACGGGUGAGUAACACGUGGGUAACCUGCCCAAGAGAUCGGGAUAACACCUGGAAACAGAUGCUAAUACCGGAUAACAACAGAUGAUGCCUAUCAACUGUUUAAAAGAUGGUUCUGCUAUCACUCUUGGAUGGACCUGCGGUGCAUUAGCUAGUUGGUAGGGUAACGGCCUACCAAGGCGAUGAUGCAUAGCCGAGUUGAGAGACUGAUCGGCCACAUUGGGACUGAGACACGGCCCAAACUCCUACAGGAGGCAGCAGUAGGGAAUCUUCCACAAUGGACGCAAGUCUGAUGGAGCAACGCCGCGUGAGUGAAGAAGGGUUUCGGCUCGUAAAGCUCUGUUGUUGGUGAAGAAGGACAGGGGUAGUAACUGACCUUUGUUUGACGGUAAUCAAUUAGAAAGUCACGGCUAACUACGUGCCAGCAGCCGCGGUAAUACGUAGGUGGCAAGCGUUGUCCGGAUUUAUUGGGCGUAAAGCGAGUGCAGGCGGCUCGAUAAGUCUGAUGUGAAAGCCUUCGGCUCAACCGGAGAAUUGCAUCAGAAACUGUCGAGCUUGAGUACAGAAGAGGAGAGUGGAACUCCAUGUGUAGCGGUGAAAUGCGUAGAUAUAUGGAAGAACACCGGUGGCGAAGGCGGCUCUCUGGUCUGUUACUGACGCUGAGGCUCGAAAGCAUGGGUAGCGAACAGGAUUAGAUACCCUGGUAGUCCAUGCCGUAAACGAUGAGUGCUAAGUGUUGGGAGGUUUCCGCCUCUCAGUGCUGCAGCUAACGC
rnacentral:rRNA from 1 species